GACAGUGCUGAUCGCAUCUUUGUCCGAUUGCUUCCUCACACUACCUCUCACGACGCUAUCUUCUCCCGACGCACUCGCUGCACCCUCUCGCCUCACCACCAACGGCUGGCGGCAUCAUCUCCACCCUCACCACCGCCGGCCGGGCUCCAUCCCCUCUCCAUCGUCCCUCACUUCACGGAAGCAAGCUCUGGACAGCCACCACGCCUCCACCUCUUCAUCUCACCGGCGGCUAUCACAACUUUAUCUCCACCUCCUCUUUGGGUUAGAAGAGGAGGAACCGGUCAUCUUCUUCUUCCUCUUUGAGUUAUAAGAGGAGAAGCACCUCCCUCUCACCGGCGCAUCCACCCCUCUUCUUCGGGUUAGAAGAAGAGGGCUCACCCUUCCGUCUCUGGCCAUCCACAGUUUCUUCCAGCGAACUCAUUGCCACCUCUCCACUUCAGGUUAGAAUAGGAGAGCUCUCCAUUUCUCCCGGGCAGCACCUUCGCCGCCAUCAGCCCCCUUCCUUCAUCAGAUUUUGGGCAGCAAUCUCUUCAUCAUAUUCCGGUGUUUCAGGACUAGGAAAUUAUUUCAACGGCCAUUGAUCAAUGCUUUCAAUGAUUUGGAGGUGUUAAUCAGGUUUAUAAUCCAAGAAUGAGUUCUUGUCUAAUGUGUGGUCGUCUAGCCCAUUCAAUUUAUCAAUGCCCCAUUAUGUACCGGAAGCAAAUGCAUUUACUAGUGAAUCUAAGUGUUACUAACAUCACUAUCAGGACGUGUAUGAUCCAGCUGUUAGCACUCAUAUUCAUGGUUGCGUCAACUUAGUACUAUCAACCCCAACAAAUUCCUGAGUAGUAUGGGAAUACACAACAGUAGAAUAUUGAGCACCCUUAAUGUUAUAAUUUAGACGGGAUGAACCAUCAAAAUUUCAUGUAUGGAGGUAUACCACAAUAGAGUAUUCAACCUCCCCCAACACAUCAGAGUCCACAUGGAUUUCAAGAUGACUCAGUGCUUACUAGACCUCAGACAUUCCAUUAGAUCUAGACAAUUCCCUGGGAACAUUUCAAGAGUUUAGUGAAAAAGUUCAUGGCCCCAGUCAAGCAAACUUGCAAUAUCUUGAGGAGGUUGCCCAACGAAUGAUAUUGCAAAUUCAGUAACAAACAUUGCAAAUAUAACAUCAACAUAAAGAAUAUAUGCUCUAGGCCCAACAAUGAGCAGAGGAAUCAAGUCGGAAGUUACAGAUGCAGUUGAAUCAACUUACAACAUAUGUCGCCCAAUGACAAGUACAACACUCUAGUGAGGAGAUGGAUUGUAGAGCUUGUGACAUUCCUGAUUUUGAUUCUGAGGCACUACAAGACUCCUCUAGUAUUUUGUACUGUGAUGGUGUAGUCGAUGAUUCUAACACUGUUGAUGUUGAUGUU